rnacentral:rRNA from 2 species
GCAGUCGAACGAACUCUGGUAUUGAUUGGUGCUUGCAUCAUGAUUUACAUUUGAGUGAGUGGCGAACUGGUGAGUAACACGUGGGAAACCUGCCCAGAAGCGGGGGAUAACACCUGGAAACAGAUGCUAAUACCGCAUAACAACUUGGACCGCAUGGUCCGAGUUUGAAAGAUGGCUUCGGCUAUCACUUUUGGAUGGUCCCGCGGCGUAUUAGCUAGAUGGUGAGGUAACGGCUCACCAUGGCAAUGAUACGUAGCCGACCUGAGAGGGUAAUCGGCCACAUUGGGACUGAGACACGGCCCAAACUCCUACGGGAGGCAGCAGUAGGGAAUCUUCCACAAUGGACGAAAGUCUGAUGGAGCAACGCCGCGUGAGUGAAGAAGGGUUUCGGCUCGUAAAACUCUGUUGUUAAAGAAGAACAUAUCUGAGAGUAACUGUUCAGGUAUUGACGGUAUUUAACCAGAAAGCCACGGCUAACUACGUGCCAGCAGCCGCGGUAAUACGUAGGUGGCAAGCGUUGUCCGGAUUUAUUGGGCGUAAAGCGAGCGCAGGCGGUUUUUUAAGUCUGAUGUGAAAGCCUUCGGCUCAACCGAAGAAGUGCAUCGGAAACUGGGAAACUUGAGUGCAGAAGAGGACAGUGGAACUCCAUGUGUAGCGGUGAAAUGCGUAGAUAUAUGGAAGAACACCAGUGGCGAAGGCGGCUGUCUGGUCUGUAACUGACGCUGAGGCUCGAAAGUAUGGGUAGCAAACAGGAUUAGAUACCCUGGUAGUCCAUACCGUAAACGAUGAAUGCUAAGUGUUGGAGGGUUUCCGCCCUUCAGUGCUGCAGCUAACGCAUUAAGCAUUCCGCCUGGGGAGUACGGCCGCAAGGCUGAAACUCAAAGGAAUUGACGGGGGCCCGCACAAGCGGUGGAGCAUGUGGUUUAAUUCGAAGCUACGCGAAGAACCUUACCAGGUCUUGACAUACUAUGCAAAUCUAAGAGAUUAGACGUUCCCUUCGGGGACAUGGAUACAGGUGGUGCAUGGUUGUCGUCAGCUCGUGUCGUGAGAUGUUGGGUUAAGUCCCGCAACGAGCGCAACCCUUAUUAUCAGUUGCCAGCAUUAAGUUGGGCACUCUGGUGAGACUGCCGGUGACAAACCGGAGGAAGGUGGGGAUGACGUCAAAUCAUCAUGCCCCUUAUGACCUGGGCUACACACGUGCUACAAUGGAUGGUACAACGAGUUGCGAACUCGCGAGAGUAAGCUAAUCUCUUAAAGCCAUUCUCAGUUCGGAUUGUAGGUUGCAACUCGCCUACAUGAAGUCGGAAUCGCUAGUAAUCGCGGAUCAGCAUGCCGCGGUGAAUACGUUCCCGGGCCUUGUACACACCGCCCGUCACACCAUGAGAGU